rnacentral:rRNA from 1 species
CCUACGGGGGGCAGCAGUGAGGAAUAUUGGUCAAUGGACGAGAGUCUGAACCAGCCAAGUAGCGUGAAGGAUGACUGCCCUAUGGGUUGUAAACUUCUUUUAUAUGGGAAUAAAAUGUUCCACGUGUGGGAUUUUGUAUGUACCAUAUGAAUAAGGAUCGGCUAACUCCGUGCCAGCAGCCGUGGGAAUACGGAGGAUCCGAGCGUUAUCCGGAUUUAUUGGGUUUAAAGGGAGCGUAGGUUGAUUGUUAAGUCAGUUGUGAAAGUUUGCGGCUCAACCGUAAAAUUGCAGUUGAAACUGGCAGUCUUGAGUACAGUAGAGGUGGACGGAAUUCGUGGUGUAGCGGUGAAAUGCUUAGAUAUCACGAAGAACUCCGAUUGCGAAGGCAGUUCACUGGACUGCAACUGACACUGAGGCUCGAAAGUGUGGGUAUCAAACAGGAUUAGAUACCCUUGUAGUC